UACGGAGGGGGCGAGCGUUAUUCGGAAUUAUUGGGCGUAAAGGGCGCGUAGGCGGCCCGGUAAGUCAAAGGUGAAAUCCCUCGGCUCAACUGAGGAACUGCCUUUGAAACUGUCGGGCUUGAGGCCGGGAGGGGGUAGCGGAAUUCCCAGUGUAGCGGUGAAAUGCGUAGAUAUUGGGAGGAACACCAGUGGCGAAGGCGGCUACCUGGACCGGUUCUGACGCUGAGGCGCGAAAGCCAGGGGAGCAAACGGG
rnacentral:rRNA from 1 species